UCUGUCUUCAUCAUCAGCAUCAUGAUACUCCUGCUCCUCCUCUGGCACCGGAUGCAAUUGCACCUCCUCCGCGACCACCUUUGCCGCUUUGCCGACACUAAAGGCAGCACCUCCGCCACCAUUAACACCACCGUCCUUCUCAUCAAGAUACCUGACAACGAUCACCGGACAAACACAGUGAUGCACACAGUAAUCACUUACACUCCCCAGCCUUCCCUUCCCAGAACGUUUGACAGCUCCAAACCCUCGGCUCCCCAUUAUAGCUGCGCUCAAUCCGAGGCGCUCCACCUCGAGGCACAGUCUUUCCUUCAUGUCAUGAUCCUUGACGAUAUGAAUUUUGAAAGGGAUGUUGGCAUCCACCAAGGGUUGAG
rnacentral:lncRNA from 1 species